rnacentral:rRNA from 1 species
GACGAACGCUGGCGGCGUGCUUAACUCAUGCAAGUCGAACGGUGAAGCGCCUUCCUUUUUGGUGGGUGUGGAUGAGUGGCGAACGGGUGAGUAACACGUGAGUAACCUGCCCCCUUCUUCUGGAUAACCGCAUGAAAGUGUGGCUAAUACGGGAUAUUCUGGGUCUGUCGCAUGAUGGGUCUGGGAAAGAUAUUGUUUCGGUGGGGGAUGGGCUCGCGGCCUAUCAGCUUGUUGGUGGGGUGAUGGCCUACCAAGGCGGUGACGGGUAGCCGGCCUGAGAGGGUGGACGGUCACACUGGGACUGAGACACGGCCCAGACUCCUACGAGAGGCAGCAGUGGGGAAUAUUGCACAAUGGGCGCAAGCCUGAUGCAGCGACGCCGCGUGAGGGAUGGAGGCCCUCGGGUUGUGAACCUCUUUCGCCAGUGAAGCAGGCCUGCCUCGUUUGUGGGUGGGUUGACGGUAGCUGGAUAAGAAGCGCCGGCUAACUACGUG